rnacentral:tRNA from 26 species
GCGGAUGUAGUUUAGUGGUAAAACCUCAGCCUUCCAAGCUGAUGAUGGGGGUUCGAUUCCCCCCAUCCGCU